UACAGAGGGUGCAAGCGUUGUUCGGAAUUAUUGGGCGUAAAGGGCGCGUAGGCGGUGCGGUAAGUCUGUAGUGAAAUCUCUGGGCUCAACUCAGAGUCUGCUGCAGAAACUGCCGUGCUUGAGUGUGGGAGAGGUGAGUGGAAUUCCCGGUGUAGCGGCGAAAUGCGUAGAUAUCGGGAGGAACACCAGUAGCGAAGGCGGCACUCUGGGCCGGUACUGACGCUGAGGAGCGAAAGCGUGGGGAGCGAACAGG
rnacentral:rRNA from 1 species